rnacentral:rRNA from 1 species
CACGGAGUUAGCCGGUGCUUAUUCGUACAGUACCUUCAGCUAUUUACACGUAAAUAGGUUUAUCCCUGUACAAAAGAAGUUUACAACCCAUAGGGCCGUCGUCCUUCACGCGGGAUGGCUGGAUCAGGCGCUAACCCAUUGUCCAAUAUUCCUCACUGCUGCCUCCCGUAGGAGUCUGGUCCGUGUCUCAGUACCAGUGUGGGGGAUCACCCUCUCAGGCCCCCUAAAGAUCAUCGACUUGGUGAGCCGUUACCUCACCAACUAUCUAAUCUUGCGCGUGCCCAUCUCUAUCCACCGGAGUUUUCAAUAUCAAAUGAUGCCAUUUAAUAUAUUAUGGGGUAUUAAUCUUCCUUUCGAAAGGCUAUCCCCCUGAUAAAGGCAGGUUGCACACGUGUUCCGCACCCGUACGCCGCUCUCAAGAUCCCGAAAGAUCUCUACCGCUCAGCUUGCAUGUGUUAGGCCUCCCGCUAGCGUUCAUCCUGAGCCAGGAUCAAACUC